CCUACGGGAGGCAGCAGUAAGGAAUAUUGGUCAAUGGACGCAAGUCUGAACCAGCUAUGCCGCGUGAAGGAUGACGGCCCUCUGGGUUGUAAACUUCUUUUAUCUGGGACGAAAAAAGCUCUUUCUAGAGCACUUGACGGUACCAGAGGAAUAAGCACCGGCUAACUCCGUGCCAGCAGCCGCGGUAAUACGGAGGGUGCAAGCGUUAUCCGGAUUUACUGGGUUUAAAGGGUGCGUAGGUGGGCAGGUAAGUCAGUGGUGAAAUCUCCGAGCUUAACUCGGAAACUGCCAUUGAUACUAUCUGUCUUGAAUUAUCUGGAGGUGAGCGGAAUAUGUCAUGUAGCGGUGAAAUGCUUAGAUAUGACAUAGAACACCAAUUGCGAAGGCAGCUCACUACGGAUAUAUUGACACUGAGGCACGAAAGCGUGGGGAUCAAACAGGAUUAGAUACCCUGGUAGUCCACGCCCUAAACGAUGGAUACUCGACAUCAGACGAUACACUGUUGGUGUGUGAGACGAAGACGAGUUAAGUAAGUACCGUACCGUUACGGUUAAGUACGUUAGUUCGCGAGAGUUAGUAACGUUAAAGUUAGUUAAGUUAGUUACGGACGUUGAGACGUUGGCCGACGGACGACGACGAGGGAGGUUAGG
rnacentral:rRNA from 1 species